CAGCCUCCGCGGGAAUACAGAGGGUGCGAGCGUUAAUCGGAUUUACUGCGCGUAAAGCGUGCAUAGGCGGCUUCUUAAGUCGGAUGUGAAAUCCCUGAGCUUAACUUAGGAAUUGCAUUCGAUACUGGGAAGCUAGAGUAUGGGAGAGGAUGGUAGAAUUCCAGGUGUAGCGGUGAAAUGCGUAGAGAUCUGGAGGAAUACCGAUGGCGAAGGCAGCCAUCUGGCCUAAUACUGACGCUGAGGUACGAAAGCAUGGGGAGCAAACAGGAUUAGAUACCCCCGUAGUCCCUGUCUCUUAUAC
rnacentral:rRNA from 1 species